UACGAAGGGGGCUAGCGUUGCUCGGAAUCACUGGGCGUAAAGCGCACGUAGGCGGCUUCUUAAGUCGGGGGUGAAAUCCUGGAGCUCAACUCCAGAACUGCCUUUGAUACUGGGGAGCUAGAGUCCGGGAGAGGUGAGUGGAACUGCGAGUGUAGAGGUGAAAUUCGUAGAUAUUCGCAAGAACACCAGUGGCGAAGGCGGCUCACUGGCCCGGUACUGACGCUGAGGUGCGAAAGCGUGGGUAGCAAACAGG
rnacentral:rRNA from 1 species